AGAGAUGUCUGGGCCUUGACCAAUGAGAUCUUCAGGAGUACUUCAGCAGCUGUUUCGGAUUUUUCUCUGUGGAUGUCCUCAUGGGACUAAGUGGAAAUUGGAAAAGUAUCAUCAAACUCUUCUUGAGAUUCCUUUUUGAUAAGGAAGAUUGCAGAAAAAUUUGUGGCUGAAGAGGAUGCACUGAGAAGAAAGAUAACUGCCCUUAUUCUAAAUCCCAAUCUUCAAUCAAGUACUAAGAUGGUCUGCACUUUGCCUGUGGCGAUUUCCUUAGGUAGCUGGAGAGGAAACCUCGGUGGUGGUGGUGACCCACAGACUGCCCUGCUGGGAAAAUGCACUGACCAGUCAUCAGCAAAUUCUAGCCCAUUCAGCAGGUUGAAAAGCUACUGACCAGGAAGGUCAUUUCCAGCAUUUCCCAUAGCUUCAAGAUUACUAGUACAGACGCAGAAGGUAAUGUAAAACAAAGCCACUUAAUCCGGUGAAGUUUUCUUGUGACAGGGUCCCUUUAAAGACUAUUAUCCUGAUUUCCAUCCACCCUUUGAUAGAAUCAAUGUGUACUAGAUUUAAGCAGAAUCCUGUAAAUAUCCUCCCUAUUUAUAUCUUUAACAUAAAACAGCCUAAGUGGCACAUGACAGGUGAGGAGAACAGCACUAUGUUGUAGGCUAAGCAGACCCAAAGCCACUCACUCACUCACUCAGCCAGCCAAACAAGGUCCCUUCAGAGGGGCUUUCACAGACAUGCAUCUACUGACCACUCCUGAGUAAUAAUCUAUUCUCUGCUAGUAAACAGUGCAGAUGUAUUUUAAUAAGAGGAUUGCGGCCUGGCACGCUGGCUCAUGCCUGUAAUUCCAGCACUUUGGGAGGCCGAGGCAGGCGGAUCACGAGGUCAGGAGAUCGAGACCAUCCUGGCUAACACAGUGAAACCCCGUCUCUACUAAAAAUACAAAAAAUUAGCUGGGCAUGGUGGCAGGCGCCUGUAGCCCCAGCUACUCGAGAGGCUGAGGCAGAAGAAUGGCCUGAACCCAGGAGGCGGAGCUUGCAGUGAGCUGAGAUCACGCCACUGCACUCCAGCCUGGGCAACAGAGCAAGACUCUGUCUCAAAAUAAAAUAAAAUAAAAUAAAAAAUUAAUAAGAGGAUUGCAACUUUGUGAUCUUUUUGAUUUUGGAGCAUUCGGAAACAAGAAUGGCCAUCCCACCACGACAGCAAUGUCAAGCCAGUAAGCCCUGACUUGCUUUUCAUAGCUGCCACCCCCAGGUAGGAGUCCUGGGAGCUGGUGAAGGACAGCUGCUCUGUGAGCUUCAAGGUCUUCUUUCAGAAUGCCAUUGUGAUUACAGAGCCUAUAAAAUAAAAAAGAUGCUGCAGGAGAUGCUUAUUUAAGCACAGAUCACCAGCUUCUAGAAUCUAUGAUGGUUCUUCAUGGUUUACUGAAAUAUAUCUGUAAUAUAAUCUGGACAUUAAAAUGCAGCAACUAUACUGUCUCUCAACAAAGACAUAAAAUGGGGCAGUUUGAAAAACUUGUUUGCGUGUAUGCGGCAAUUUUAAAUCCAUCAGAGGAAGUAACUUUUAACCCUUUGUUGACUUUAAUGAUGUUCAAAUCCACAGCUGGGCAAUCUCGUUCCACAUUCCACCUGAAUGACAGGUAUGCUAGAUAAUCUUAACAGCAGAAAAGGCUAAUUUUAUAUUGUCAAUCAUAACAAAGUUAGAUCCCCACAACUCGUAUGAAAUUUACUUAAAUUGUCACUGCUAAGAAAUUGAAAACUUCUGGCUGAAGUAUAGGUUACAUCCUCUAUUUCUGAAUGUAGAAAAAUGACUAUUAGUUUUCCAUUCAGAUCCUAUUGCAGUCAAAUUUUCUUUAUUCUUAAUCAGAAUAGGAAGGCAUGGAAAGAGGGAUUUAUCUUUUAUUAUCUAUAUCCAGUCUACUGAGUAAGUGAUAAGAGUCUAAAAAUUUGGUCACUGUUUUAGGUUAGGUCUGUCGUUGUAUCACAGUAGCCUUCAAAUAGAUUAGUUACCAUCUUUUAAAAAAUGACUAUUUUGAGGGAUGCAUGAUUCUAAAAAGCUAUAGGAGAAGACAAAACAGUGUUUCUACUUUAAAGGAGCUGUUCACAUUUGUAGUUGGGAAUAUUCAACACACACCCCAAAAAGAAAAUGAAGAUUAGUUACAAAGCAACUUAUAAAGCAAUAUGUUAAUUUGCAAGGUACUAAUUUGUAAAUAGCACUACAGUUGGUGAAGUUACUGGACCUAGUUGAUGGCUAUGUGCCUGAUGUGAUAAGGAUGAAGGAGAUGUGGUCCAUCUAUUGGAGGGUGAGUGACAACUGCAGACUCAGGCUUAGCCCUACUCUGAAGUGUACCUUUAUGCUGGGAAGGAAUAAUAACAGGCACACAAGAUUCAAGUGCUAUUCCUGACCCUUAUCCACACUGUUGGUGCUCCAGCUCCUUGCCAAUUCCCAGGCUUCUGUCUAAACUCUAAGCCUGGAUUCUCAGUUCUUGUAGGUCAGACCCCGAGUUGGGUCCUUCACUCCUGGGUUCUGCUGCCCCAAAGCUUCCAGACUUCAGGCCUAUCUGACUUAUAGUACCUAUGAAUACCUCUUAUUGCCUAGGCAAAAUCUGGAUCCUAAUUCUUCCUGGAAGCCUUUAUCUUGUCAUCACUCAAUUUCCAGAAUAACAGCUGCCCUUAAGAGGUCCCACCAAUGGUGAGCCAAUUUCAGAGUAGUAAAAGAGAGCCUGUAAUCAACGGUGAGAGGUAUAGGGCAGGCCAUCAGACAAUCAGGAAUUAUGAAGCGGUAAAGACACAGAGAGAUCACUGGAGUCUCAGGGGCUUCACUAAGGAGGAGGAACGUGAGCCAGGCAGGUUUUAGAGAGAAGGGGAGAUGACAUUUGAAACUAAGGAGAGACACAGGCAAAGGUGAUGGGAAAUGACAGGGUAAGAGUGGUGUGGGGACCAGCAAGGGAGACAAGUUUGGCUGGGUAGGGGUUGCUGUUGGUCAUAGUAGGAUAGCAAUGGAAAAUUAAAUUCAAUAUGAAACUCUGGAAAGAAUACAGCAAUAAGCUUGUGGAUUUCUGAGCCAUUGCUGGUUUCUCGAAAGCAGUGUUUUUCAGAGGGUUAGCCUGGCAGCCUUGCAAGGAUGGAGUUGGUGAGGAGAGAGACCUGAGGCCCAGAGACCAGUCAGGAGACUGACUUUGUGCUGUAGGUGGCAGAGGAAGAGCAGGUAAGUGGGUGAGGCAAGGGAGGAAGAAACAGUCCUUCAUCGCUCACCUGGGGAGCACUCAGCUGACUACAGGGAAGGUAACGGAGACCAUGCUGGCUGCUGGUGGGGUGGGGCUGUGGAGAGCUGGGGCCAGUGCCUCCAUCAAAAGCUCCCCCUGAGGAGUGUGUGUCCCAGUGAACCUAGAUCUUCUCAGUUUUUAAGAGAAGCUGGAAGUUUAUAAUUGCAAGUUUUGUUUUUAUUUAACAGCUCCCAAUUUUUAAAAUGUGGUGACUAAUUCAAAAGGUUGCCUACCCACUGACAGGACAAAGAGAACCUAUCUGCAGCCCAAGGUAGGCCUGCAGGCCACCAGCUUAUGAUCUCCAAGCUUAGAUUCCCUUUAGUCCCACUUCCCAAACCAGGAUGCAAACCUGGAGCAAGGACCAUGGCUUAAUGUUUUUGGAUAUCUUCUAAAAGGUUAGUACUGUGCAGUACUGGAAACUGGCUGACACUCCAUGGUGCUGGUGGAUGCUGCAGUGGGAGCAGGUUCCCUCCAUGCAUUCGGCACAAUGCUGAGCAUACAACUUAAUGAUACUACAUGUCAAAUGACAAGCUGAAACUUAAACCCAGAUGAAAGAAAUUCAUAUGACACACUUAUCUUUACAGUAUUUUUUUUUUUUUAAUAAAAAUGAGAUGGGGUCUUGCUUUGUUGCCCAGGCUGGUCUCAAACUCUUGAGCUCAAGCAAUCCUCCCACCUUGGCCUCCCAAAGUUCUGCGAUUACAGACAUGAGCCACCACACCUGGCUGACAGUAUUUUUAUAAUGGUUGUUGUUACACCAGUCCAGGGUUUCCCCCUUGGUACUGGGUGAUCAAUCAGCUGGCCACAAGCACUAUGCACAGAGCUUAUGAUCUACUCUAACUCAGAACUUUCUCGGACUAAAAGAUGAGCUGGUUUAUGCU
rnacentral:lncRNA from 1 species